rnacentral:lncRNA from 1 species
UCUGGGCUUUAUUCUGCGGCGCCCCGAGCCCCGCGGCUGCGGGGGAAAGAAGGAGAGGAUGGAGGGCGGGAAUAGGGGGGCAGAGGGGAUGGACAGCGGGAGCCAAGGACGGAGGGCAGGUGGGGGUGUCGGGGUGUACUGGGCAGUAGGGAGAGGGGACAGGGGGAGGUGGGCUGGGGAGGAAGGAAGGGUAGAGGAUGGAGUAGGAGGAAUGAAGGCAGAUUGAGGGGAAGGUGGGGGAGAAGGCAGCACGGAAAGGGGGCAGGGGGAGCUGGACUCUGGGGUGGGGAAGGAAGGGCAGAGGAAGUAGAGAGAGGAUUGAAGGCAGGUAGGGAGAAACUAGUGGGAGGAAGGAGAGCAGGGAGAGGGGCCAGGUGGGAGCCGGGUGGGGGAAGAAACGUGGAAGGACGAGGAGAAAGGUGGAGGGGUAUGGCAGGGUUGGGGUGUGUAGGGGGAGAGGAAGAGGGGGAGUAGGGGGGGACCGCGCCGGGCCGGGGGGGGAAGGAGGGGAGGGCUAGGGGGGAGAGGGAGGGGGGGGUAGGGGGGGGGAGGGUGUAGGGGGUAGGGGAGGGGAGAAAGGGAGGGGGUAGAGGAGAGGUAUAGAGAAAGAGAAGCAGAGAAGAGAUAAAAAGGAAGAGAAAUAAAGAGCCCGACCCGGCCGCAACCUCCCCCACCGAUCGCUGAGGGGCAAAUGGCUCUUGAGGCGAUUCCCGGGGCUUAAAUCCCCUCAGCCCCGCCCCGCGCAGCCGCUCUGGGGCCGCGCACCUGAGCCCGCCCCGCCCUUCACACCUGAGCCCGCCCCGCCCUUCACACCUGAGCCGGGCCCGCCCUUCACACCUGAGCCGGGCCCGCCCUUCACACCUGAGCCGGGCCCGCCCUUCACACCUGAGCCCGCCCCGCCCUUCACACCUGAGCCCGCCCCGCCCUUCACACCUGAGCCCGCCCCGCCCUUCACACCUGAGCCCGCCCCGCCCCGCCCCGCCCCGCCCGUAAAUCCCGGCGGAUCCGCGCCCGCUCCGCUUUGGACGGGGGAUGCUCAUCCCGGGAUGCGGCGGGACCGGCGCUCGGAGCGCUGUGCGGGCCCUGGGCCGGGGCUGCUCCCGGUGCUGUGCGGAGCUCGCGGCGCUGAGAGCACAGGGUAUCCUGCGUUAGAAAGAGCCACGAGGAGCAUCAAGUCUCAUGAUGGUAAGUGA